rnacentral:lncRNA from 1 species
GGGCUCCCUGGCGGGGCCUGGCUGUGGGGAGGAGGGCGGUGUCUCUCGGCCGCGGCGCCGGACUCGCUGCCGGCGUCGCCGCUUUCCGCAGCGGGGCCCGCCGGGCCUUCCCGUGCGCAGCCGCUGGCCUCCUGCCGCCUCUUCUGGGAAGGCGGGGCUCGGCCCCGGCGCCGCGCCGCAGCGUGUCCCGUGUGUGUGCGAGGGGGCUGAGGAGCCGGCGGCCGCCUCGCUGCGGGGGAGCCCGCUUGGGCCGGGGCCGCGCCGACGGGCAGGGAGGGCCGCGGAGGAGGCGGGCUUCUCGUCCCUCUGGAAAUGACCUUGUAAAGAUGGAAGUAAGAAAAGGAAAUUAGCCUAUGUUAGAAACUCUCUGGGAGGGAAAAUGAAGAAAAGAAAGUCAGUGCAAACAAAGGGGAAUGACAGAGGCUGAAUCAGAGAAAGGUGGGGAUUUUCACAGAGAAUGAGGAAUGUAUGGAGUGUGGGUGAAAGGGGCCCGACAGUUGUUCAGGUCUAGAAAUGCCCGCUUAAUCUUUCCGGAAGCUCAAUAGUCUCUUCCAAUAGUACCAGUUAAUUAAAAAUCCCACACAGACCAAAACCCCCUAUUUGCACUAACAUUGUCUUGCUACUGUGGUACUCUACUACAGAGAAAUCCAGCAUACUUUUAAGAGUUUCAAGUGUGACUGGACAUGAAUGUUACAGAAUGCCACAGCCAGCUGUUCGAAACCCCCAGCUUUGUGCCUGUGUGUGUUUUAACCCCAUUCCCACUGGCUCCUCUGACUGUUCUGGACUGCCAUUAAACUGUAUUUCUAAAGGAGCUGCUAGUAUUUAUGGAUUUUCUCUUUUAUCAGGAAGUGGUGGUGGUCACCAAUGAGCCAGAAAGAAAAUGGAAGUCCCUGUCAAUGUGGGUGCUUUCAAGCUAGUGGGAUCAAUGUUGGAGGAGGAGGGAGGUAAGGUACAAGGUGUUCUGGAGUGUCAGGAGUGUCUAUCAGCCCAGAUAGCUCCCAGGAAGAUAUCUUUCCCAUGCACCAAAUAGUUUAUGGACGUAGGGUAUAUACUUUUACUUUGGGAAUACUCUGGUCUUCCUGCUUGUGCUCAAAACCAGGACCUCCUGCAAAUGGUGUAGGCACAGUGACACCACCUCAGGGUCCUGGUGAAGCAAGUUUUUGGGAAGAAAUGGAGUAGCAGUGACCACCCUGCUCCCAAUGGCCAAGCAGCUACAACCAUCCUCUUUCUCCGUGGCCGUACAUCCAAGCCUUAACACUGUUUCCCAUGUGCUUGAUUUGCCUGGGUGCACCUGGACUGUCUUGCAGGGCACAGGUUGAGGUCUGAAAGUCUUUUCUGCCCUGCAGUGACAUG